rnacentral:rRNA from 1 species
UACGUAGGGUGCAAGCGUUGUCCGGAAUUAUUGGGCGUAAAGAGCUCGUAGGCGGUCUGUUGCGUCGGUUGUGAAAACCCGGGGCUCAACUCCGGGCCUGCAGCCGAUACGGGCAGACUAGAGUUCGGCAGGGGAGACUGGAAUUCCUGGUGUAGCGGUGAAAUGCGCAGAUAUCAGGAGGAACACCGGUGGCGAAGGCGGGUCUCUGGGCCGAUACUGACGCUGAGACGCGAAAGCGUGGGGAGCGAACAGG